GGCGGACGGGUGAGUAACGCGUAAGGAACUUGCCUCUUGGUCUGGGACAACUGUUGGAAACGACAGCUAAUACCGGAUAUUAUGAGAUUCUCGCAUGGGAAACUUAUGAAAGCUAUAUGCGCCAAGAGAGAGCCUUGCGUUCCAUUAGCUAGUUGGUGGGGUAACGGCCCACCAAGGCGACGAUGGAUAGCCGGCCUGAGAGGGUGAACGGCCACAAGGGGACUGAGACACGGCCCUUACUCCUACGGGAGGCAGCAGUGGGGAAUAUUGGACAAUGGGCCACAAGCCUGAUCCAGCAAUUCUGUGUGCACGAUGAAGGUCUUCGGAUUGUAAAGUGCUUUCAGUUGGGAAGAAGAAAGUGACGGUACCAACAGAAGAAGCGACGGCUAAAUACGUGCCAGCAGCCGCGGUAAUACGUAUGUCGCAAGCGUUAUCCGGAUUUAUUGGGCGUAAAGCGCGUCUAGGCGGAAAAAUAAGUCUGAUGUUAAAAUGCGGGGCUCAACUCCGUAUUGCGUUGGAAACUGUUUUUCUAGAGUACUGGAGAGGUGGGCGGAACUACAAGUGUAGAGGUGAAAUUCGUAGAUAUUUGUAGGAAUGCCGAUGGAGAAGUCAGCUCACUGGACAGAUACUGACGCUGAAGCGCGAAAGCGUGGGGAGCAAAC
rnacentral:rRNA from 1 species